UGUCAUUCUGAUGAUUAAUGCGCGCAAUUGUAAUUAAUCGUCUUUUCGCGAGUGCGAAUCACGUGAAUGUCAUGAAGAACGAACAAGAGUGGAGGAGGAGGCCCCGGGGAGGCAUCAGGCAACGGCGGAGCAACGUAAGAUUAAUAAUGCAUUUUUUGCUACAACUCCGCUGCUGCGCAUCGGACUAUUGG